UCCAGAGCCAUAUUUCCCUGCAGUUUCCCACUGAAGUUAAGCCGGGUUGAGCCUGGCCAGCACCUGGAUGGGAGACCUCCUGGGGGAAAAUUUACGGUGAUGCUAGAC
rnacentral:rRNA from 1 species